AUGCCAUGUUGAGAACACUUUCGGAGUAGUCCUUUAAAUCUUUCCCAUGCCUCGUACAAGGAUUCACUUUUUUUUUGUUCAACAACAAUGAUCUCUGCUUUGAGCCU